rnacentral:tRNA from 1 species
GGGGUUGUGGGGUAACCUGGUUAGCCUUCGAGUCUCGGGGGCUUGAGAUCCCGGUUCAAAUCCGGGCAGCCCCA